rnacentral:piRNA from 1 species
AAUAUUUAGGUAGGUCAUUGAGC